UGAAGAAGGCCUUUUGGUUGUAAAGCACUUUAAGCGAGGAGGAGGCUACUUGGAUUAAUACUCUAGGAUAGUGGACGUUACUCGCAGAAUAAGCACCGGCUAACUCUGUGCCAGCAGCCGCGGUAAUACAGAGGGUGCGAGCGUUAAUCGGAUUUACUGGGCGUAAAGCGUGCGUAGGCGGCUUUUUAAGUCGAGAUGUGAAAUCCCUGAGCUUAACUUAGGAAUUGCAUUCGAUACUGGGAAGCUAGAGUAUGGGAGAGGAUGGUAGAAUUCCAGGUGUAGCGGUGAAAUGCGUAGAGAUCUGGAGGAAUACCGAUGGCGAACGCAGCCAUCUGGCCUAAUACUGACGCUGAGGUACGAAAGCGUGGGGAGCAAACAGGAUUAGAUACCCUGGUAGUCCAUGCCGUACACGAUGUCUACUAACCGUUGGGGCCUUUGAGGCUUUAGUGGCGCAUCUAACGCGAUAAGUACACCGCCUGGAGAGUACGGUCGCAAGACUAACACUCAUAUGAAUUGACGGGGCCCCGCACAAGCGGUGGAGCAUGUGGUUUAUUUCUAUGCAACGCGAAGAACCUUACCUGGUCUUGACCUAGAAAGAACUUUCCAGAGAUGGAUUGGUGCCUUCGGGAACUUACAUACAGGUGCUGCGUGGCUGUCCUCAUCUCGUGUCGUGAGAUGUUGGGUUAAGUCCCGCAACGAGCGCAACCCUUUUCCUUAUGUGCCAGCGGGUUAAUCCGGAAUCUUUAAGGAUACUGCCAGUGACAAACUGAAGAAAGUGCGGACACCACCUCAAGUCAUCUUGGCCCUUAGGACCAGGUCUACACACGUGCUACAGUGGUCGGCACAAAGGGUUGCUACCUAGCGAUAGGAUGCUAAUCUCAAAAAGCCGAUCGAACUCCCGUUUGACUCUGCACUCCACUCCGUGAACUCGAACUCCCUAAUACU
rnacentral:rRNA from 1 species